rnacentral:lncRNA from 1 species
CUGGAAAAUUGUAAGGCAAAACUGGGUUCCCCUCUUUAGCCAUUUCCAGGUUGCUCAAAACCAAUAAUUUCAUGAAUGGAUUACUAACCACCUUUAUUGCCCAGCUUUCUCCCUUUACUUGAAUACUUCCCAAAGACUAGUUGUUUCCUUUGAAACUGAUCCUGGUUUACUUUCUUCCUCUGAGGCAAUAUCAGAGGAUGUUACAGAGCAUACAUUACUAACAUAUAUGGCUAAUGAUAUGAUUCUCCCAGAAAUCUCUAAUCAUUUUACCUGCUAAGAGAGAAAGCAGUAAAGCCAACACCUGAAAUCAGAUAUGUGUACUGCUUCCAUAAAAAAAUAAUCUUAGAGAAAGAAGUUUAGUCAUAGGUUUUAUUAAUAGAUCUGGGUUUGAAUGCUAGUUCCAACAUAAUGUAUUUCAUAGGAAAAACAGAGUCUGGAUCAGGACAUGAUGGAUACCAUGACAAAUGUCAAAGACAGCAAACUCCUCAUCAAUAUUAUUUACAUACCUAAAGAAAGACUAGGCUAAGGAAAUGGAAUGGAGGGAAUCUCAACUUAUUAGUGAAUGGCUAGCAUCAAUUUAAGGAAACAAUUCUCUGAUCCUCCUCUCCAGGGGAUUCUAGUUUAAUCGGCAGAAAUAUCCCCAAGUAUUUAUGGUUCCACCUGACAGGUUAAUGACACUAGUCCUUUAGGUCCUUAAUAACUCCAUUGAUAUAGCGUCCUUCCUGCCCAAAAAUUUCUAUUUUGCCUUUUCUAUCUGAUUUUCCUUACUAGUUUGCGGGUGCUGACCAGGAGGUCUAAGAAUUAUGAUUCAUUUGGCAGUCUUAAGUCGCAUUAUAGAUGAAUAACUUUAUUUGAUUUAUAUAGAGUUUUGCUACUGAAAAUAUAUUCCAGUAGAUUUCAAUUCAAUCAAUUCCAGACACACUGGCAAAAACUGAAUUUCUGGAAUAAAUAUUUUCAGUGGGUUACCUUUCCAGAUCUGGGGCCACCUGCUGAGGUCCCGAGUGACAAGUGAGUUCUAUUCAGAAAGGAACUUGCAUUUUCUAUAACUGCAACAAAAAACAGCAAAUUUGGGGGAAAUCCCAAGUGGGUAUUUACAUUAGAUUCUUAACUUUGGGUCCCAAUGGAAUAUUCAAAUUCAGAGAACUAAAGCUUCACAGAAAGCAAACUGGUAAGUCAAAUGCAGAUUCUGAUGACUGAAAAAUGAAGAGCCAGCCAAACACUUUAGAUGGAGAAAGAAUAAGUGCUAUUUUGGCUUUGCACUGAUAGUCCACAUCUUGAAGUUCCAUAAUCCCUUUUGUGUGGCACCCAAUAAAAUCCCAUUUCUUCAGGUUCAAGUAGCAGAGGAUCAGAGCUUCAAGAUACAUUGGAAGGAACAGACAAAUGAUCAAAUAGGCUUAAAUGGGUUAAGAAACUAGGGAAUGAAAUUCUUCAACAUUUUUGAUAUGGACUGAGUAAUGACUAAGAAGAUGGAAGUUUUCAGCUUAGUUUUAUGUAUGGAAGAUAAAUACCAAGGGGAAAGAGGAAUAUUUAGGAAACAACAAAAGCAUAUAAACAGAAGGUCUAGUGUUUAAAAAAUGAGAAAAUAUGAGAGUUCCUGUUGUGGUGCAGAGGAAACAUAUCCGACUAGUAUACAUAGGGGUACAGGUUCGAUCCCUAGCCUCACUCAGUGAGUUAAGGAUCCAGCAUUGCUGUGAGCUGUGGUGUAGGUUUUAAAUGUGGCUUGGAUCCUGUCUUGCUGUGGCUGUGGUGUCAGGCAGCAGCUAUAGCUCUGAUUCAACCAGUGGCCUGGGAAUUUCCAUAUGCCAUGAGUGCAGCCCUAAAAAGCAAAAAUAAAAAAUAAAUAACAAAUGAGAAAAUAAAGCUUUAGAGUCAAUAAUAAACAACUAUUUUUCUUUCUUUUUUUUUUUUUUUGGUCUUUGAGGGCCACACCCAUGGCAUAUGGAGAUUCCCAGGCUAGGGGUCCAAUUGGAGCUGUAGCCACCAGCCUACACCACAACCACAGAAACAUGGGAUCCAAGCUGAGUCUUCAAUCCACAUCACACCUCACGGCAACUCCAGAUCCUUAACCCACUGAGUGAAGCCAGGGAUUGAACCUGCAACUUCAUGGUUACUAGUUGGGUUCGUUAACCACUGAGCCACGAUGGGAACUCCUGGCAAGUCACUAUUUCUAUUCACAAAAACUGUCUAUUAGAUUAUGCAAAUUACUUAUGAGAAAAGCCAAACAACACCUAAAAGGUAUUUCCAAGAGAUAUUACAACCCAAGAAAAAACUCAGUGAAGUAAGUAAUUCUUAAAGUAGUUUUAUGAAAAUUUUGGUUGUGAUUCUUACUGUAACAUAUGCUUAGAGGGAAUAAACUAUUUAUGCAGGAAUGUCUUAAAUUAACAAUGUUGGUAAUAUAUAUGUAGGUUGUAGAUAGGUGAAUAGGAAGUCUGAUAAAUGGAUAGAGAUGGAUGGAUCAAUGGAUAGAAAAACAGAUGAAAAGGUAAAAUUAGUUUAAGCCCUUUUAAAAUUAAUCGAUCAUUAUAGUGGUUUAAUGAUGGCAUAAAGGGUCUUGUGUUACACAAAUAUCAGCCAUUUCCUCUGACCUUGAUUGUGAAAUGCAUGAAUUGUUUUGAAUGAGAAAAAAAUAUACAUUUUUUUUUUCAGGGCUUCCCAAGUGUAAGCUUAUCUUGGCUAGUACAGUAUAUCUCAAACUUGGCUACAAACCAGAAUUCCUGGUAUGGUUGCUAAAGGUAUAAAUUCCCAGUAUCUAUACCAACAGAACCUUCCAGGGAGACUAGGAAGUUUCACAAAGUACUGCUGAGAUUCUUAUGGUUCUAGGAUUUAUUGUAAUGAGAGCCAUGAUUCUAGGACAAAGAGUUUCAACAUGUAAACUUUUCCUAAGAGUCAUUUUCAUUUUGGGGAAAUUGGAAUAUUAAGCGGUAGACCUCUCUCCUAGGUAAAUACUCAUUUCAGUUCCUCAGGAAUGGCCUAAGGUCUACUGACUAUGUUUAAACCUUUGCUAACUGCUGAAAGAUGGGAAUAGGAUAGGAGGAGGUUACGACUUCAGUACCCAGCAGGAGGAAGACUUCUCCUUGCUGGCAACAGCCUAGCCAAUGAAAGACGGUCAUAGCUCAGCCAGUGAAGUGCCACUACACUUGGAAUUCCCACUUAUUUCUAUUGGACUCUUUGUUUAUAACAGCCCCUCCCAAUUUCCUCUUCACCUGUAACACAACGUUCUCCUUUGUUCCAUGGACUUGCCUGUGUUCACCUUAGAUGGCUUGUCAUCAAUUGUCAUCAACUGCAAUUCUUUGCUGUCCCAAAACACACCCAUUUUGCUGGUAAAAUUGCUUUAAUGGUUUAGGUCAAUGUAUGGAAAUAAGAGCAGGUUUGAGUUGAAUCACAGUUAAAAACCUGAGGGACCCCUCUAGAUAAUUUAAUCUUGUGAGGAUAUUUUGCAACAGAAAUCUUUGAAAAGAGAUUUCAAUACCCAAGUAUUCAACCCAUGGAAAGAAAUGAACACAGUGAAAAACAGAGGCAGCAGUAAGUGUGGGAGUUUCCAGAUCUCGAAGGAGACCAAUCAAGCUGAACAACAUAGCACCUUCUCUUUUCUCUAUCUUUCAUUAUAUUGUCACAGUGUUCUCUGGACUAGUGUUAUUAGGCCAUAAAAAGAUAUGUUGUGUUCUUCACAUGGCUUCAAGAAGAGGGUCUCUGAAAAACCCCAAUGGUUUUACAAGAGGAUAUUGGUGGUAGGUGGGGAAGAAGGUGAAAGCUGAGGGCAGUAAAAGAUGUAGUAAUAGCUGUAGGGAAUUUUAUUUAUUUAUGUAUUUUUGGCUUUUUUUUUUGUUUGUUUUCUAGGGCCGCUCCCACGGCAUAUGGAGAGUCCCAGGCUAGGGGUGUAAUGGGAGCUGUAGCUGCCAGCCUGUACCACAGCCACAGCAACGCAGGAUCUGAGUCACAUCUGCGACCUACACCACAGCUCACAGCAACAGCAGAUCAUUAACCCACUGAGCAAGGCCAGGGAUUGAACCGGCAACCUCGUGGUGGUUCCUAGUCAGAUUCGUUAACCAGUUAACCACUGAGCCACGAUGGGAACUCCAGGGAAUUUUAAAUAUACUCCGUAAUUUACAGUCUAAACUAUGAGGUAUGAUGGAUUUAUUUGCAUACUUUGGGUAUUUUAAGCAACUGUGUAAUGCUGCAGCAGAGUAUGCAGUAGCAUAUAAAAUUAUGUAUUUAAACAGUAUUUUCUAAGAACAUUAAAUUGCUUUCUUAGAACUACCACAACAUCAAUUUUUUGUGGUGGUGGGGGAGCACCUGCAGCAUGCAGAAGUUCCCUGGCUAGGGAUUAAACCUCCGCUACAUAAAUUACCAGAGCCACAACAGCAACAAUGCCAGAUCCUUAACUCGCUGAGCUACCAGGUAACUCCUCAUCUCUUUUUAAAGAGUGAAUUUUUGGUUUAUAGAGUCAGGACUUGGUGUACACAAUCUAAUUCAGUUCCUAUUGUUUGGAACGCUUGGAAAACAUUUGGUCCAUAUUUGAGCAAACCAUGUGUUAAUCUCCUUUUUCCCUCCUCCCCCACAAAUUUUCUCUCUUGCCUCAGUGAAUGUGAAAUUUGAACAGAAGGUCUUCAAGUUCUCCGUUUUUUGCUUUCUUUAAACAUUUUAAAAUCCUUUUUUUACUGACUAAAUCCGCCCCCCCCGCCACUCCCCCAAUAGCUUCAGCUAAAGUGGCAUGAACUACUUUAUUCUCUUCCAGGCUCAAAACCCCAAGAUUCUUUGACUGAAUUCUUCCUAAUUAGGGCUCUCUCUCUCUCUCUCCCAGGCUCUCUGGGCCUGAAGCCCUUCGGCUGAUUUGCUCUGUGCUAAGUAAGGUUAGUCCUGAUUUCCAUGUCUUUGUUGAACAGACAUAUGGGAAGGGAUAAAGUUGUACGGCUUGUCAAAAAUGAUUCAAUAAAGUUCCACUUUUUAUUUUUAAAAUCACAUCUUGAAAGAAAGUUUUAUCCUCACUCAGCCCCCUGUGUGGCAGCAGUCACCACAGGGGCACACAGCCCUCAUCAGCUGUGAACCACCAGCCAUGUCACAAUCAGCCUCCUUCAGAUGCUACUGCCCACAGGUCAAGAGUGAGCAGUCAGUCCUGAAAUCCCUGGAUAUUCAGCACAGAGUUUUCUAUCUCUGGGCUCCUUUCCCUAAGGAUCUCUGACUUUAGGAAGUGUCAGAAUUGGGAAUGAGAAGAACCAAAACAAUUCCUACAUAAUCAUUCUACCCUACUGCCAUCUACAGUAAUCUGGUUUUCUGAAAUGAACACAAAAAUAGUGCUCACUGAAGUCUGUCAUAUGCACUUUAAUAAUACUGACUCACUUAUCUCAUUUAUCUCAUUCCAUCCUCAUAAUAACCUGAUAAGGUAUAUACAUUAUCUCCAAUUUACAGAUGAGGAAACUGAGGUACAAAGAGGUUAAACAAUUUGUCUAAGGUCAGACAGCUCGUAAGACUUCCAGAAAAAGGAUAUUAGGUUUCUCUAUAAAAAGAUAUAUGAGAAAGACCAUGUUAAAUCAAAUUAGUACAUAUUCAUGGGGAUUUUUUUUUUUUUUUUUUUAAUGGCUGCACUGACAGUGGCCGGGGGAAUGGAAUACACCUGUGUAGUGACCAGAGCUGGUGCAGUUCGAUUCUUACGAGUGGGCACUCCUGAUUCAUUUUUAUUUCUUAAGGCUAUAGUUGGUUCACCCAUAGAAAGUUCAGGUUAGGCCCAAACUAUAAGCCAAUUCUAGAUAAUAAGAAGCAAUAGAAUGGUAAGAAGGUGGGUGCUGAAAAUUCUGAAAGAGUUCACUAAUGACAUCCUUUUGAUGAGACUGUAGUAGUCAGAGAUCAGACUAAUCUCUAGAAAAUUCCCCUCAAAAUCUUCCUCCUUCACUAUGGAUAAAAUUGCAACUCUAUUAAGGUAACAAGAACUUUUAGGACUUACCCUGUUUCCCAACUAUUGUCAGGUAGAAGAUAAGAGCAGGUCUCUACCGAAGAUUUGACAGAGAAGAAAAAGAUAAAAAGAAGAAAUUACAAGUGAAAACAAAAAUAGGAAUAAAAACUAUAGAGUUUGUACUUUAAGAGAAAGUGAUAAGAUAAAUAACCACUAGCUAUCCUAAUCUGACAAAGAUAAAGUACAAAUACUGAUUGUGGUUUGAUAAGGGAAAAGAAUCCCAGCUGUGGAGGAAAUUAAAUGUUUGAAAACCUGAAUAAAAUGAUUCAUUUUCUAGGAAGACAAACUAUCAAUAUUGACUUAAGAAGUGAUAAAAAUCUUAAACAGGUCAAUAAUCAAGGAGGAUAUUAAGAAUGUUCUCAAAGAGCUACUUCCUGAAGUAGUACCAGUUUCAAAAUUAAAUUAUUUUAUUCUUAAAAGAACACAUAAUUCCUGUGAUAUUUAAUGUAUCUCAGAAUACAACAAAAUAAAGGAAGAUACCUAAUUAUUUCACAAAUCCAGAGUAACAUAUACUAAAUCCUGAGAAAGUAAACACAUCCAAAUGACAAAAUUACACCAAUUUCACUUAUGAUCAAUG